GGCUCUCGAGAUUCGGAGGGCGGUGCCUCUUCGAUUUUGGAGUAAGCAAUCUUGUUGGGAGUGUUUUCUCGGAUGUGAGUAAAGGUUGGGCAUGUUUGCUAGUCUACCUUGCCACGAAGCACGGAGGUUGACACACAGGGACUUUCCAAUUAUCCAGCAGUGGUACUGUUCCUUUACCCUUGUGGGUAAUAAUAUGGUAGCUAGACCUUCAAAAUUUAUGUGUCUAAACUUUGUUAGUGCUGUUUCUUUGCUAUUCUUUUACAUUUCUUGGUCAGAGCGAUGUAGUGGGAGCUGCAAGCUUCACGUGCUCAACUUUGGCAGAGACUUUGGCAAAGUUAUCUGUGGUACCCAUGAGCUAUUGUUGCGUGUGGGAAGUGGGUGAUUGAACAGUAAGAUUCAUGUGCUUUCUACUUCACCAGAAGUCUUCGACAGAAUGCCCAUAAUUUCCGCAAAGCUGAGUGUGCGUGUGACAGGUGCUGACAAGGUUAGAAAAGUAGGUGCCUCUUCGAUUUCUGAGAUCGGCCCUCGUGGUCUCUGAGUAGCCCAGCUUUUGAGAAAGCGAGCGCCUCUUCGAUUGAUUCGGAGAACGAUGCCUCUUCGAUUUUUGAGAAAGCAAUCAUGCUGGGGGUCUGGCUCUCGAGAUUCGGGGAGCAGUGUCUCUUCGAUUUUUGAGAAAGUAAUCAUGUUGGGAGUCUGGCUCUCGAGAUUCGGAGGGCGGUGCCUCUUCGAUUUUGGAGCAAGCAAUCUUGUUGGGAGUGUUUUCUCGAAUGUGAGUAAAGGUUGGGCAUGUUUGCUAGUCUACCUUGCCACGAAGCACAGAGGUUGACACACAGGGACUUUCCAAUUAUCCAACAAUGGUACUGUUCCUUUACCCUCUCUUCGAUUUUUGAGAAAGUAGUCAUGUUGGGAGUCUGGCUCUCGAGAUUCGGAGGACGGUGCCUCUUCGAUUUUGGAGCAAGCAAUCUUAUUGGGAGUGUUUUCUCGAAUGUGAGUAAAGGUUGGGCAUGUUUGCUAGUCUAC
rnacentral:lncRNA from 1 species